GGCACCUGCAAGCAAGCUCCAGCAGAAUCUCCGUUUCCAUUACAGUUGUAGACGAAGUCUAAAAUAGCUCUGAGGCAUUCUGCUCUAUUUGAGUAUUGCAAAGCACUCCAAGAGUUGGUUUAAUCUCGGUGAUGAAGACUAAAAAAGAACUACCUUUUGCAAUACAUGCAUGUUUGCUAGAAAGGGUACAAAUCACUGCUUCGCUCUUGAGUUAUUAGUUUCAUUGUAUACUCUGUUUCAUGGCUGCUGCAUAUUUUUAGUUGAAGCUUCCAAUUAUUUGACAGUAAAGUAAUGCUUCAUCUAAUUUCAUAAAUACUAGAAACAUUGUUUCUAAGCGGCAAAUUCUUA